rnacentral:rRNA from 1 species
GAUGAACGCUGGCGGCGUGCCUAAUACAUGCAAGUCGAGCGAACAGAUGAGGAGCUUGCUCCUCUGACGUUAGCGGCGGACGGGUGAGUAACACGUGGAUAACCUACCUAUAAGACUGGGAUAACUUCGGGAAACCGGAGCUAAUACCGGAUAAUAUAUUGAACCGCAUGGUUCAAUAGUGAAAGACGGUUUUGCUGUCACUUAUAGAUGGAUCCGCGCCGCAUUAGCUAGUUGGUAAGGUAACGGCUUACCAAGGCAACGAUGCGUAGCCGACCUGAGAGGGUGAUCGGCCACACUGGAAGUGGGACACGGUCCAGACUCCUACGGGAGGCAGCAGUAGGGAAUCUUCCGCAAAGGGCGAAAGCCUGACGGAGCAACGCCGCGUGAGUGAUGAAGGUCUUCGGAUCGUAAAACUCUGUUAUUAGGGAAGAACAAAUGUGUAAGUAACUAUGCACGUCUUGACGGUACCUAAUCAGAAAGCCACGGCUAACUACGUG